rnacentral:rRNA from 1 species
UACGUAGGGAGCAAGCGUUGUCCGGAUUUAUUGGGCGUAAAGAGCUCGUAGGCGGCUUAGAAAGUCAGGUGUGAAAACUCUGGCUUAACCCAGAGACGCCACUUGAUACUUCUAUGGCUUGAGUUCGGUAGGGGACCAUGGAAUUCCUGGUGUAGCGGUGAAAUGACGCAGAUAUCAGGAGGAACACCGAUGGCGAAGGCAGUGGUCUGGGCCGAUACUGACGUGAGGAGCGAAAGCGUGGGGAGCGAACAGG